GACGAACGCUGGCGGCGUGCCUAAUACAUGCAAGUUGAGCGCUGAAGGUUGGUACUUGUACCAACUGGAUGAGCAGCGAACGGGUGAGUAACGCGUGGGGAAUCUGCCUUUGAGCGGGGGACAACAUUUGGAAACGAAUGCUAAUACCGCAUAAAAACUUUAAACACAAGUUUUAAGUUUGAAAGAUGCAAUUGCAUCACUCAAAGAUGAUCCCGCGUUGUAUUAGCUAGCUGGUGAGGUAAAGGCUCACCAAGGCGAUGAUACAUAGCCGACCUGAGAGGGUGGUCGGCCACAUUGGGACUGGGACACGGCCCAAACUCCUACGGGAGGCAGCAGUAGGGAAUCUUCGGCAAUGGACGAAAGUCUGACCGAGCAACGCCGCGUGAGUGAAGAAGGUUUUCGGAUCGUAAAACUCUGUUGGUAGAGAAGAACGUGGGUGAGAGUGGAAAGCUCAUCAAGUGACGGUAACUACCCAGAAAGGGACGGCUAACUACGUG
rnacentral:rRNA from 1 species